AUUAUUAUUUUAAGUCUGACCUGCCCGCUGAGUGGUUGAAUGGCCGCGGUAUUUUGACCGUGCAAAGGUAGCAUAAUCACUAGUUUUUUAAUUGAAAGCUUGGAUGAAGGGUUUGAUGAGAAAGAGUCUGUCUCUGGAUAAAUUAAUUAGAAUUUUAUUUUUAAGUUAAAAAGCUUAAAUUUUUAUAGAAGACGAGAAGACCCUAUAGAGUUUUAUAGGUGAUAAUUAGUUGAGUAUUUAGGUAUUGUUAAAAGAUUAAUUAGUAUUUAUUUUUUUGGGGUGAAAGGAAAAUUGAUUAAACUUUUUUUUAAUUUGAAUAUUUGUUUAUAAGUGAAUGAUCCUUUAUUUUAGAUUAUAAGAAUAAACUACCUUAGGGAUAACAGCGUAAUUGUUUUUAGAGUUCUUAUCGAAAAAAUAGUUUGCGACCUCGAUGUUGGAUUAAAAUUAAUUAUUGGUGUAGUGGCUAAUAAAUUAGGUCUGUUCGACCUUUAAAAUUUUACAUGAUCUGAGUUUAAACCGGCGUGAGC
rnacentral:rRNA from 1 species